ACAGAGGAUUAGACCCCUCUGGACCUCACAGCACCUGCAGGAAAACAUUUCCAGGAGGAGCAGAACCUGGGUCCAGCGUGGCCGUGAAAGGCUCCUCAAGGUGCUGGUGGUCUCCAGACGUGGAGCUGCAUCUCCUCAGGGUCAGCAUGGGAGGCUGGGGCUGGUGCUGGGGUUUUUGGGCUGGUAAAUCAGAGCAGGCCCUGCUUGCUGGUGGUGUAGGUGGGUUGGGAAGUGGGACUGUGCUCUCAUGGGAGAAGCCUGAGGGCAAGGAGCUGGUGGUGGGACCUCACUUUCUGCUUUUGGUCCCAAAAAUGGAUCUGGAAAAGGACUGGAAGACAUGAAACCUCAUAUGUGGAGUUCAACCCCAAACCUACAAGAAAGGAUCACUGAUGGGGUCAUCCCCUUGGAGAGGGAUCCAGCCUUGGAUGGGGCUGGGACUGGCCUCCUGGGAAAGGGCCAAACACGGUUUUGGUGAGGAGGGAGAGCCCAGACAGAGCAGUCUCAGGGGAACAAACAGUGGGGGCCUCCUGGGAGUUCCCAGGACUCUGUUUUGGGCUGCAGGAUGAGGUCACUGUCAGUGGCUGGCAUGGGGGCUCAGGCCAGGAUCGUUUACAGAGGUGUGAACCAUUAACAAAUUAAUCAUCAGGGCCAGCAUAGCUGGAAGUUAUUUGCCUCCCUGGGCCCUAUAAAAGGAUGUGGAGGGCAUUUCUUGGGUUUGGGCCGCUGAGGAGGGAGUGUUCUGCCUUGUGGCUGUGUCUUGGACCUACUCCUGAGAUCCUGCUGCUCCCUGGGAUGCACCAAGAGAAGAGGCUCUGCUUUAAGCUGUGGGAGGAAUGUUUUCUGCUGAAUCCUGCUGUGGAAAUGUCUGAUGGCCACUCCUGGGAUGAGCAGCUGCGUCUGGCCUCUAAUCUUCAUCCUUGGCUGUGGAGAGGGCGAGGUCCCCGUGCUAAAGUUUCCUAGGAAUUAAAAAGAAAACCCCACCCCAGCAGCCUGUGCCGCGUGCGUAGGUCUGUGUGGAUUCUCUGAAGUCUCAUGCAGGGUUGGGCUGUCCCUCAUUGCUCUGACCUCUCUCCUCAGCUGAGUAUCUGCAGGAAAUGUUUGCUAAUUAAAUAGCUGUGAAAACUCUGCCCAGCCUGUCAUCAGCUGGGGCUGAAAUGAGACUCAGAGGAUACACGGGAGAAUCCACACACGUGGCCUUGCCUGUCCCUGUGUUUCCUGUAUCCACUUGGAAAACCAAGCUGAAUAAAGCUGCAGUUUGGUGGCAGAGCCCUGUCAGGGCUCUUGUCCUGAGUGGAGAUUUUUCACCUGUGCAAGGCAAGAGGAAAAACCGAGUGCAGAUUUUUUUUAUUUUUUAGGAAGCCACAAUAAAAGUGAUGAAUUCCUCCCA